GGGAGUGUAGCUCAGUGGCAGAGCAUUCGACUGCGGAUCGAGAGGUCGGUGGUUCAAAUCCGCCCGCUCCUU
rnacentral:tRNA from 1 species